GUGGAGAUCUGGGUAAAGAAUCCUGCCAAGGGAGAACCAGACUAUUGGCCAGAACCAAUGUGGAGGCCCCCCUGGGGCUCAAGGGACCAGGAAUGCUGAGCAAGCAGCCUUCUCCUGGGAUUCUCCACUUCCUCGUGACUAUCUUGAUUUCUGCGCAUUCAAGGAGAAGGCAUUGGGAG